UCUAAAGGUGCUUGUUUUUCCACUGACAGACUCAGAUUAAUAUGCUAAGUGUCUGACCAGCAUUAUGGAAAGGAUCCCUACAGAGAGAGAGCUUUAAAACCUCUUUGAGAUCUUUCUGUCUAACCAGAGACAGCUCUGAGGUUGCUCGGGCUGAACCCACCAGACUCCAUUCAAAAAAACAGUACUUUUAGUGAGUCUAGCGUCUAACACAUUGUCACAUGUAGACACUAGACUUGAGGUUGGUAACACUGACAGACGACCCAAAACGGUUUUUUCUUCGUUUCUGUCGACUUUGAAUGAAGGGUAUUUUACGAUGCUUAAAUCGCUGUUUAUUUAGAUGGAGUCUGGUGGGUUUAGCAAACGCAAUUUUGCAGACGUUUUUAUGUUAAACAAAAGGAU